AUUCACAUGGGGCCUGGGCCUAGCGUGUGUGUACAGCACGGCCUGAGGUUCAGGGCUCUGCUCUGGUGUUUCCCGGCUGGGGGGACUUGGGCACCUCAUCUAAUCUCACGGCAGAGUUUGCUCAUCAGUAAAAGGGGACACCAGUGAUUUUCCAUGUCCAUGCUGGGGCUCCAAUGUAGAUCAAAUUUGCUAAUGUGCUUUGUAAACAAUGGAAAUCACAAAAAUGUGGUUGUUUAUUAAUUUUGUUUUAUGGAUGUAGACCUGGGAAAGAGCCCUCCAAUGUCUUGGAAGCUACUGUUUUCAAUUUAAAAAGUGAGUAGUCCCAAUAGGAAGAAGUUUUCUCUGGGAUGAUAGGGAGGCUGGUGCCCUGGAAGUUCUUAUCGCUGGUUCUAAACCUAAGUAAAGGGGUGAUUAAGGAGGCCCCAUGGUCUUGAGCUUUGGAUGUAAGUGUGAGCAUUUGCUUGUGUGUACGAGAAAGAGACAGAGGCAGGCAUGGUUGUGGCAGGGUCAUAAUCAUGAAGCUAAAAGGAACUUUUUUGAUAGCUCUAGUUUUUUAUGGUCAAUUGCACUAAAUAACGAGUUUUGAUUUUUAAAGUGGGCUUUAGAUAUUGUAAUACUUUGAAAGUAAAAUAGAGACUAGCUUAGUGAGAAGAAUAGAGGGAAAAAGAAACUGGGGGAGUAAAAGUUUUAUAGAUUGAUCUGCUUUGGAGAGAUGCUGUGGAACGUGGAAAGAAAAGGGUGAGUGAUCACAACGAGAUGGCAGUGACAGUGGUGGGGUGGUGCUGCAGUGAUGGGGAAGGUGGUGGUGACAGUCGUGCACACAGUAACAGCUGACAUUGAGCACUUGCUAUGGACAAGGCUGUGAUAAGUGCUUUGCCUGAAUCAUCUCUUUAGGCUUCAAAACAUCACUGUGAAGUAACUACUUGUACACUCUACCUUACAGAUGAGGAAAAUGAGGCAUAAAGCGUUUAAUAGCCUUCAAGGUCACAUAACUAUGUGUUGAGCAAGGUAUUUGACCCAGGCAGUUUGACUCCAGAGUCAUGAGCCCAACCACUUUACAGGUCUGCCUAGAAAAUGCAGAAAAGUAAGGAUUUGACACCAAGAGCAAUUUGUCCCAACAGGGGACUGGUUUGCAUGCUAAUGCCUGGGAACAGGGGGCCUGGGGAGUAUUGUGACCUGGUGAUGGUGGGGGAGAGCUGGAAGUACAGAUGAGCAUAAACUGAGGGUAGAAAUGAUGGACUUAGAAAUUAAAGUGGUAACUGUCUAUAAAAUUUGAUCAUUUUGUUAGAAUGUGACAAGCCAAAUUGAGUGAUGACACCAGAUACUUGUAAUUCACCCACCUAUGCAUAACUUGAACUUCAAGAUAACUACUCAAUGUUAGCUGACUCCCUAGUUGAGGGUUAUGCUGCAUACUUACUGUGGAGGGAAGUGACAAAGGGGAGGUGGUGUGGUUCCAAGGGUUCCGAAAACGUGGACCAUUGAAAAUGGGCUCACAAAGAACAAAAUGACAGGCAGGUUGUUCUGGAUAGCAAUAGCAUUCCCAGGAACUGAUAUGCGUGAGUUCUGAAUCCACCUAACCCCUCACUCCUCCCUUUGUUGCCUUCUACAAUUCUUUCCCCACAGUACAGAGUGAUCCCUUGUCACCCACAAGGCUCCCUGUUGUCCUUAUGAAGGCAGAAAUAAUAUCUUUCUUUCAUCAAUAUAUAUGAAGAGUCUGGUACAAAAUAUGUCAGCCACAACGUACCCCAAACUCUCAGUUCAGAGGAAUGGCCGUUGUGGUUCCUGUCACCUUUUCCAGGGAUUGACUGGAAGGUAUCUGCUCUACAAACCCUGUCCCGAUCUGAGAGAGAAAGCCAGGCAGGAGUGGGAAGCCAUGUUUUUGAGGAAAGUGGGAUUUGUGAGGGAGAGGGAAAGGGAGGGAAAAUGUUUCUUGAUCCAUUCCCCUUUCUGAAGUGGAGGAGGACUGCUGCAAGAGUUGCUCAUGGAGUUGGUGCCUCCCUAUCUAUAAUAAUGGAGUGAGUCUUACAGUUGUCACCCAGUUAAUAGGCUGUUGGGUUGCAAAGCCUGCUGACCUGACUUGUGUUAGUGAAGUUGAGAGAUGAGCUCUAGAAGAAAUAGAAUGUUGUACGACAAGAGUAGGAGAGCAUGGACCGUUCUCUCGGGUUCCAGCAGUCCUGGAGAGACACAGGUGAUCUACCUAGCAGAGCCGAUGGGCUAUUGGGGAGUGGGACUGGAUGUUUGUGAGGUCAAGGCUUACUGUGGACUUCAGCACACUGGGGGAAAAUGUCUGCAGCAGAGGUCUCCAAUGUUUUUGACAAUUUUUCCAUGGACGCGGUGGGGAGGGGAGAGGUGAUGGUUUUGUGAUGAUUCAAGCAUAUUAGAUAUAUUGUGCCUUUUAUUUCUAUUAUUAUUGUCACUUGCCACUCACUGAUAGGGUUUUGAUAUGAAUCUGCAAAUGAUUGGUUUAUUACGGCCUCUGUACAGUCAAAUCUCUCUGCUAAUGAAAAUCUGUAUUUGCAGCUGCCCCCUAGCGCUAGCAGCACCAUCUCAGCUCCACCUCAGACCAUCAGGCAUUAAUUAGAUUCUCAUAAAGAGCACACAACCUAGAUCCCUCACAAGGACAGUUCACAGUAUGGUUCAUGUUCCUAUGAGAAUCUAAUGCCGCUGGAGAUCUGACAAGAGGCAGAACUCAGGUGGUGAUGUGAGACAUGGGGAGCUGCUGUAAAUACAAAUGAAGCUUCAUUCUCUUUGCCCACUGCUCACCUCCUGCCAUGCAGCCUAACAGACCACGGACUGGUACCGGUCCACAGACUCAGGGUUGGGGACCACAGGUCUAGAGCAUCAAAAAGGUGGUGAAUUGCCAUGAGAUGAGGGUCAGCUGUAAGAAUCCAUUUAUUUCUGGUUCUUAAUGUUAACUGGAGGAGUUGCUUGGGUUUGAGACUAAACUAGCUGGAAAAUUGGAGUCUUUACCUGCUCUCUCUGAAUCUGAAAAUAAUAACACUAGAUCAGAAGUUAAGAACCACAACUUAGAGUGCAGCCCACUGUUUUUGAGCAGAGACUGUCUUUGGCUAUCUCUUCUCUUCAUUGCAGGAACAUCACCCAUUCCAGGAAGAUGGAAGAGUUCAAAGAGUGAGCGAGCAGACCCUAUCCACAACCCAUCUACAUCUCAAGGCCAUGCAGACCAAAACCUGAAUUCUUGUGGAGAAGAAGACUCUAAAUAAAAUAUGAGAUUAUAAUAUGCAA